rnacentral:rRNA from 1 species
UACGUAGGGUGCAAGCGUUGUCCGGAAUUAUUGGGCGUAAAGAGCUCGUAGGCGGUCUGUCGCGUCUGCUGUGAAAACUCGGGGCUUAACCCCGGGCCUGCAGUGGGUACGGGCAGACUAGAGUGCGGUAGGGGAGACUGGAAUUCCUGGUGUAGCGGUGAAAUGCGUAGAUAUCGAGAGGAACACCUGCGGCGAAGGCGGGUAGCUGGGCCGACACUGACGCUGAGGCGCGAAAGCCAGGGGAGCGAACGGG